AGGGAUGUAGCUCAGUGGUAGAGCACUUGCCUAGCAUCCCUGAGGCCCUGGGUUCAAUUCCCAGCACUACAA
rnacentral:tRNA from 1 species